CUUUGCCUGAGAAGUGAUAUUAUCAGCUCUGCUCUCAAACCCCAUUGUGCCUGAAUAGAGCUGGAGCAAGUGGGGAUAGAGGCGAAGAGACCAUAAUGACUCCUUUUUGAAGCCACACAAAAGGCAGCCAGGACUUCAGCAGGAAACCUGAGGAGUUGAGAGGCAGCACCGAGGUCUCAGUGGACAUGGGGUAUUUAUUCUCCUUCUCUUUGCUGGCCCUGGAGGGUUUGUGGAGCGGCCAGAGCAAGCAGCGAGCAAGUAACCGCCUGCCUGAUAAAGGCAGAAUUGAUGAUGGUAGGUAUACUUGGCUUAGUCUAGUUUCUGGCCCAAGUGGCCCAGAAGUCAACUCCACACUGUUGAGACUGUCGGGUUCCCUGACAGCAUCAGAUACAUCCUGCAUUCUGAUGGGAGUUCCAUGCCUCGUCCCCUCUCCUCACCCCUGGGUCUGCUCCCUGAUGGAACCUGAGGGGAGGUUAAUGUGGACAAGCCUUGGACUUUGCCUUGCAUUGAACUCCAUGGUGUCUGAGAGCACAGCUGCAUCCUAGUCCCCUCCAUUCACAGACAAGACCACAUCCUGCCUGCAGCAGUUGCAGCCUCUUUUAGGAAGUGAACCAUGGGGGGCACAGCGUUGUCAAGUCUCGGGGCGUUAAAGGAUCUUUUUCCUUCAUUAAAAUUUGAGUUGAUUAAUUUUGCUAUGCAAUUCAUUGAUGACUCUUCUCUCCAAUCCCUUCUUUUCAAUGUGAUUCUGAUAGGCAAGGAGGGCAGGUGGGAAUAAAGGGAAAGUUAACAAAAUUUACAAGGUGAUAGCCAAAGGAUAAAGCAAAUUUAGAACACUGAAUGCAAAAGAAGAGGCGCCUUUUCAAAUGCAAAAAUUGAAAUAAAGGAAAGAGUCUUUCCUUAAUUCCUCCAGCUGUCAAAAAGCCUUUGAAUGAGUUUCCCUAUCCUAUUGUCCAUGGACUGUUCUGAGAUGAGGCUGUCUUGAGAAAGUGGGAAGAGCUAAGUAUAGGCCUCUGAGCAUCACACUGCAGUUCAAUAAAGGGACAGAAAGAUUUAUCUUGUGUAGAUGGAGAAAUAAACCAGCGAUAGCUGUAAGGGCAGUGCUAAAGCCAGGAUACUCUAAAGGAGAAUAUUGUCAUGACUGGAGUGAAAAAUCUGACAGAAACCCUGAAAAAUACCUUUGUUAUGUGUUAUUCAAGCACAAUUUCUAAAAGACAACUUAAAAAUAGCUAUUUCCUCUAAACUGACCUUUUUCAGCAAGUUCUGUUUUCUCAAGGUCAAGCUCUGAUGUAAGUCUGAGGGAUCAGGAUCAAGAAUUGGACUAUGGGAAAAUAAAUAUUCUUUGGCUUAAGCACACAUUUCAGGUCCUAGGGAGGGGAUGCAAGAGGACAGAACACCCAAAACUCUUGG
ensembl:lncRNA